rnacentral:miRNA from 1 species
UUUUCAGUAGAAGUAUGUCUCAUGCAAUAUAAGGGACAUAUUUAUACUAGAA